GAUGAACGCUGGCGGCGUGCCUAAUACAUGCAAGUCGAGCGAACGGACGAGACGCUUGCUUCUCUGAUGUUAGCGGCGGACGGGUGAGUAACACGUGGAUAACCUACCUAUAAGACUGGGAUAACUUCGGGAAACCGUAGCUAAUACCGGAUAAUCUUUUGAACCGCAUGGUUCAAAAGUGAAAGACGGUCUUGCUGUCACUUAUAGAUGGAUCCGCGCUGCAUUAGCUAGUUGGUAAGGUAACGGCUUACCAAGGCAACGAUGCAUAGCCGACCUGAGAGGGGGAUCGGCCACACGGGAACGGAGACACGGUCCAGACUCCUACGGGAGGCAGCAGUAGGGAAUCUUCCGCAAUGGGCGAAAGCCUGACGGAGCAACGCCGCGUGAGUGAUGAAGGUCUUCGGAUCGUAAAACUCUGUUAUUAGUGAAGAACAUAUGUGUAAGUAACUGUGCACAUCUUGACGGUACCUAAUCAGAAAGCCACGGCUAACUACGUG
rnacentral:rRNA from 1 species